rnacentral:rRNA from 1 species
AGAGUUUGAUCAUGGCUCAGGAUGAACGCUGGCGGUAUGCCUAACACAUGCAAGUCGAACGAUGUCUUCGGACAUAGUGGCGGACGGGUGAGUAACGCGUGAGAAUCUGCCUCUAGGAUGGGGAUAACGGUUGGAAACGACCGCUAACACCCAAUAUGCCGUAAGGUGAAAAAUUUAUUGCCUGGAGAGGAGCUCGCGUCUGAUUAGCUAGUUGGUGGGGUAAGGGCUCACCAAGGCUUCGAUCAGUAGCUGGUCUGAGAGGAUGAGCAGCCACACUGGGACUGAGACACGGCCCAGACUCCUACGGGAGGCAGCAGUGGGGAAUUUUCCGCAAUGGGCGAAAGCCUGACGGAGCAAUACCGCGUGAGGGAGGAAUGCCUUUGGGUUGUAAACCUCUUUUCUCAGGGAAGAAGAUCUGACGGUACCUGAGGAAUAAGUAUCGGCUAACUCCGUGCCAGCAGCCGCGGUAAUACGGAGGAUGCAAGCGUUAUCCGGAAUCAUUGGGCGUAAAGCGUUCGCAGGUGGUUUCCAAAGUCUGCUGUUAAAGACUGGAGCUCAACUCCGGAACGGCGGUGGAAACUUGGAAACUAGAGUUCGGUAGGGGUAGCAGGAAUUCCCAGUGUAGCGGUGAAAUGCGUAGAUAUUGGGAAGAACAUCGGUGGCGAAGGCGUGCUACUGGACCGUAACUGACACUCAGGGACGAAAGCUAGGGGAGCGAAAGGGAUUAGAUACCCCUGUAGUCCUAGCUGUAAACGAUGGAAACUAGGUGUGGCUUGUAUCGACCCGAGCCGUGCCGUAGCUAACGCGUUAAGUUUCCCGCCUGGGGAGUACGCACGCAAGUGUGAAACUCAAAGGAAUUGA